rnacentral:rRNA from 1 species
AACACAUGCAAGUCGAGGGGCAGCACAGGUAGCAAUACCGGGUGGCGACCGGCGCACGGGUGAGUAACGCGUACGCAACUUACCUAUCAGAGGGGGAUAACCCGGCGAAAGUCGGACUAAUACCGCAUGAAGCAGGGGCCCCGCAUGGGGAUAUUUGCUAAAGAUUCAUCGCUGAUAGAUAGGCAUGCGUUCCAUUAGGCAGUUGGCGGGGUAACGGCCCACCAAACCGACGAUGGAUAGGGGUUCUGAGAGGAAGGUCCCCCACAUUGGUACUGAGACACGGACCAAACUCCUACGGGAGGCAGCAGUGAGGAAUAUUGGUCAAUGGCCGAGAGGCUGAACCAGCCAAGUCGCGUGAGGGAUGAAGGUUCUAUGGAUCGUAAACCUCUUUUAUAAGGGAAUAAAGUGCGGGACGUGUCCCGUUUUGUAUGUACCUUAUGAAUAAGGAUCGGCUAACUC